rnacentral:rRNA from 1 species
CAAGUCGAGCGGCAGCGCGGGGCAACCUGGCGGCGAGCGGCGAACGGGUGAGUAAUGCAUCGGAACAUGUCCAUGUCGUGGGGGAUAGCCCGGCGAAAGCCGGAUUAAUACCGCAUACGCCCGAGAGGGGAAAGUGGGGGACCGCAAGGCCUCACGCGAUUGGGUUGGCCGAUGUCCGAUUAGCUAGUUGGCGGGGUAAAGGCCCACCAAGGCGAUGAUCGGUAGCUGGUCUGAGAGGAUGAUCAGCCACACUGGGACUGAGACACGGCCCAGACUCCUACGGGAGGCAGCAGUGGGGAAUUUUGGACAAUGGGGGCAACCCUGAUCCAGCCAUUCCGCGUGAGUGAAGAAGGCCUUCGGGUUGUAAAGCUCUUUUGUCCGGAACGAAACGGUGAACGUGAAUAUCGUUCGCUACUGACGGUACCGGAAGAAUAAGCACCGGCUAACUACGUGCCAGCAGCCGCGGUAAUACGUAGGGUGCGAGCGUUAAUCGGAAUUACUGGGCGUAAAGCGUGCGCAGGCGGUUUUGUAAGCCAGAUGUGAAAUCCCCGGGCUUAACCUGGGAAUGGCAUUUGGGACUGCAAGGCUGGAGUGCGGCAGAGGAGACUGGAAUUCCUGGUGUAGCAGUGAAAUGCGUAGAUAUCAGGAGGAACACCGAUGGCGAAGGCAGGUCUCUGGGCUGACACUGACGCUCAUGCACGAAAGUGUGGGGAGCAAACAGGAUUAGAUACCCUGGUAGUCCACGCCCUAAACGAUGUCGACUGGUUGUUGGGGGGUUUGACACUCUCAGUAACGAAGCUAACGCGUGAAGUCGACCGCCUGGGGAGUACGGCCGCAAGGUUAAAACUCAAAGGAAUUGACGGGGACCCGCACAAGCGGUGGA